rnacentral:lncRNA from 1 species
GAAUGGUGGAUAAAGAUUGCGAAUUUGCACAGCUAUAAAGCUUACUAAUUAAAGACUACAAACACAAAGAGAGCAAGCCUUGUGAUGACUGCACAAUAACGAGGAUUCAGAUACAACGUGGUCGCCACCUGACGCCCACCUCCACAAAAAGCCAUUCUCAAAAGGAGAGAGACAUUCAUAUCCAGAAGAGGGAGUCGGCUGUAGGGUAGAUUCAGACCUUAGUUAUCAAGAGGUUUUAUUAUAGAACCACUAGUAACUCAUAGACUCUUCCUGUUAUGUGAAAUAAAUGAAGACCAGCCAACUAAGAAAGGCAAAGGCUAUGUAUUCUGAGCUCAUCUGGAUCAGAGGAGUCAGCACUGUCAUUUGUGUUUGGCAGAGACUGAAAGAUGUUCGUCUGAAGAUUUCAAAGCCCACUGCUGAUUUAAGGUCAUUCACAUUCAGCCAUGAAGCUGCUCUGAAGACACAGGAACUGCAUAGCUCCCUACUGGGAAUGUCAAGGGCUGUGAAAGGUCUAAGGUUUUAUCCUACUUGCAACCAACAAGCUAUGCAGCCACAGUUUUAUGGAUGCUGUCAAAAGACAUGACACUCCUGGGUUAUUUGCAACUUACCUGGCUAAGCUGAACUCCAGAAUUUGGACUAGAGGCUUCAGGAUGCUGGUGCAGUUCAAGUCUGGUCCACAUGUCUCCUCCUCCUUCGAGGGUCAUUGACUACUUUGUGUAUCUUCUUUUCAUGACAGUUCAUAUGAGUGCAAGAUGGCUCGAUAGACUUGCACACAAGUUUAAAGAUUUUUGUAUACACCUCAUUCCAUUGUUAAAGCAAGUUGCAUGGUCAAAUCUAACAUCUCUGGACAAGGACAUGCAUUCAUACCACUCUACUGCACUGCAAGCUCACGCAGAGGAGCAGAUCAUAAAACGUGAUUGAUGCAUGAUGAUGAUAAUGACCAACCUACCAUCAUGGACAUGACCGUGAAAUAUCAGAGAUGCUUACGUAGAAUUUGGAAAACUUUAAUUUUCACCAAAUACUCAUGUGCUUUGGGCUUACAGCAUAUGAAUUUUGGCAGAAGAGAAGUGAACCAGAAUAGAAGGAGGAGGGGAUAUUUAAUAAGAGAUUACAAAAAUGCUUUCUCUGGGUAAGAGAUGUGGUGAUCGUUCAAUGCAGAGCAGCUGAGGAAGACUUCUGUGUCCAGUGGUGCCACAGGCUGGGUCUUGGACCGACCGUCCCCUUGAAAACAACCGAACAUGUUGGAUAGAACAUGAGAUUACAGAAGGUUACAGGAUAUCAAUGGAGGACUGAGAGGA